AUUGAACGCUGGCGGCAGGCCUAACACAUGCAAGUCGAACGAGUGGCGGACGGGUGAGUAAUGUCUGGGAAACUGCCUGAUGGAGGGGGAUAACUACUGGAAACGGUAGCUAAUACCGCAUACCAUCGGAUGUGCCCAGAUGGGAUUAGCUUGUUGGUGGGGUAACGGCUCACCAAGGCGACGAUCCCUAGCUGGUCUGAGAGGAUGAUCAGUCAAACUGGAACUGAGACACGGUCCAGACUCCUACGUGAGGCAGCCGUGGGGAAUAUUGGACAAUGGGCGAAAGCCUGAUCCAGCCAUGCCGCGUGUGUGAAGAAGGUCUUCGGAUUGUAAAGCACUUUAAGUUGGGCGGCGUUACCAUCAGAAUAAGCACCGGCUAACUUCGUGCCAGCAGCCGCGGUAAUAC
rnacentral:rRNA from 1 species